UAAUGUCUGGGAAACUGCCUGAUGGAGGGGGGAGUAACUACUGGAAACGGUAGCUAAUACCGCAUAACGUCGCAAGACCAAAGAGGGGGACCUUCGGGCCUCUUGCCAUCGGAUGUGCCCAGAUGGGAUUAGCUAGUAGGUGGGGUAACGGCUCACCUAGGCGAGGUCCCUAGCUGGUCUGAGAGGAUGACCAGCCACACUGGAACUGAGACACGGUCCAGACUCCUACGGGAGGCAGCAUG
rnacentral:rRNA from 1 species